UACGUAGGUGGCAAGCGUUGUCCGGAAUUACUGGGCGUAAAGCGUGCGCAGGCGGUUUGUUAAGUCUGUUGUGAAAUCCCCGAGCUCAACUUGGGAAUUGCAAUGGAUACUGGCAGGCUGGAGUAUGGUAGAGGAAGGUGGAAUUCCCGGUGUAGCAGUGAAAUGCGUAGAUAUCGGAAGGAACAUCAGUGGCGAAAGCGACUUCCUGGACCAAUACUGACGCUCAUGUGCGAAAGCGUGGGGAGCAAACAGG
rnacentral:rRNA from 1 species